CCUACGGGGGGCUGCAGUAGGGAAUCUUUCACAAUGGGCGAAAGCCUGAUGGAGCAACGCCGCGUGCAGGAUGAAGGCCUUCGGAUUGUAAACUCCUUUUGUUAGAGAAGAUAAUGACGGUAUCUAACGAAUAAGCACCGGCUAACUCCGUGCCAGCAGCCGCGGUAAUACGGAGGGUGCAAGCGUUACUCGGAAUCACUGGGCGUAAAGAGCGCGUAGGCGGGAUAGCAAGUCAGAUGUGAAAUCCUAUGGCUUAACCAUAGAACUGCAUUUGAAACUGUUAUUCUAGAGUAUGGGAGAGGUAGGUGGAAUUCUUGGGGUAGGGGUAAAAUCCGUAGAGAUCAAGAGGAAUACUCAUUGCGAAGGCGACCUGCUAGAACAUAACUGACGCUGAUGCGCGAAAGCGUGGGGAGCAAACAGGAUUAGAUACCCGUGUAGUC
rnacentral:rRNA from 1 species